GUAGGUGAACCUGCGGAAGGAUCAUUACCGUGGGGCUUCGGCCCCAUUGAGAUAGCACCCCUUGUUUAUGAGUACCCUUGUUUCCUCGGCGGGCUUGGCCGCCAUGAGGACAUUAAAAACCCUUUGUAGUAGCAGUAACUUCAGUUAAUAAUAAAUAUUAAGACUUUCAACAACGGAUCUCUUGGUUCUG
rnacentral:misc_RNA from 1 species